GAUGAACGCUGGCGGCGUGCCUAAUACAUGCAAGUCGAGCGAACAGACGAGGAGCUUCUCCUCUGACGUUAGCGGCGGACGGGUGAGUAACACGUGGAUAACCUACCUAUAAGACUGGGAUAACUUCGGGAAACCGGAGCUAAUACCGGAUAAUAUAUUGAACCGCAUGGAUCAAUAGUGAAAGACGGUUUUGCUGUCACUUAUAGAUGGAUCCGCGCCGCAUUAGCUAGUUGGUAAGGUAACGGCUUACCAAGGCAACGAUGCGUAGCCGACCUGAGAGGGUGAUCGGCCACACUGGAACUGAGACACGGUCCAGACUCCUACGGGAGGCAGCAGUAGGGAAUCUUCCGCAAUGGGCGAAAGCCUGACGGAGCAACGCCGCGUGAGUGAUGAAGGUCUUCGGAUCGUAAAACUCUGUUAUUAGGGAAGAACAAAUGUGUAAGUAACUAUGCACGUCUUGACGGUACCUAAUCAGAAAGCCACGGCUAACUACGUG
rnacentral:rRNA from 1 species